rnacentral:rRNA from 1 species
AUUUAACGCUGGCGGCAGGCCUAACACAUGCAAGUCGAACGAGCGGCGGACGGGUGAGUAAUGUCUGGGAAACUGCCCGAUGGAGUGGGAUAACUACUGGAAACGGUAGCUAAUACCGCAUACCAUCGGAUGUGCCCAGAUGGGAUUAGCUAGUAGGUGAGGUAACGGCUCACCUAGGCGACGAUCCCUAUCUGGUCUGAGAGGAUGACCAGCACAACUGGAAAUGAGAAACGGUCGAGACUCCGACGGGAGGCAGCAGUGGGGAAUAGUGCGCAUUGGGCGCAAGCCUGAUGCAGCCAUGCCGCGUGGUUGAAGAAGGCGUUCGGGUGGUAAAGUACUUUCAGCGGGGAGGCGUUAACCGCAGAAGAAGCACCGGCUAACUCCGUGCCAGCAGCCGCGGUAAUAC